rnacentral:lncRNA from 1 species
UGAACAGAUGGUGUGAAAAGAAUUAUGUUGCUUUAAGGAGAGGAUCGACCAUGUCUUGGAAAGUUGAAUGGCUGCUGUCUCUUGGCCGAAUAGUUGCCUUGGGGAGAACCAAAAUUAAUCAGCUUCAAUGCAUUAUACCAGCUGCACAUGCAUCUUCACAUUUAUUGAAUCUACGUGCAUGCAUCUAGCCAAUGAAUCUUCAAAUUCGGCUGCACCUAAAUAAAAACACAUGAACUUAAUUCAAACAAAUUCAGCUGAACUAAAUUAAAACAUAAUGUGAACACUCUAAUUGACAUUGUGACAAAUUAAAUAUUAACUAAACAAGACACAUUAA